rnacentral:tRNA from 1 species
AGAGUUUUAGCUUAAUUAAAGUGUCUGUUUUGCAAGCAGGAGAUGUGUGAAUCGCAAGCUCU